AUUGAACGCUGGCGGCAGGCCUAACACAUGCAAGUCGAGCGAGCGGCGGACGGGUGAGUAAUGUAUGGGGACUGCCCGAUAGAGGGGGAUAACUAAUGGAAACGGUGGCUAAUACCGCAUACUAUCGGAUAACCCAUAUGGGAUUAGCUAGUAGGGGGGGUAAAGGCUCACCUAGGCGACGAUCUCUAGCUGGCCUGAGAGGAUGAUCAGGCAAACUGGGACUGGGCGACGGCCCAAACUCCUACGGAGGCAACAGUGGGGAAUAUUGCACAAUGGGCGGAAGCCGUAUGCAGCCAUUCCGCGUGUAUGAAGAAGGCCCUAGGAUUGUAAAGUACUUUCAGUCGGGAGGCGUUACCGACAGAAGAAGCGCCGGCUAACUCCGUGCCAGCAGCCGCAGUAAUAC
rnacentral:rRNA from 1 species